rnacentral:rRNA from 1 species
AACGAACGCUGGCGGCAGGCUUAACACAUGCCAGUCGAACGCCCCGCAAGGGUAGUGGCAGACGGGUGAGUAACGCGUGGGAACAUACCCUUUUCUACGGAAUAGCUCUGGGAAACUGGAAUUAAUACCGUAUACGCCCUACGGGGGAAAGAUUUAUCGGGGAAGGAUUGGCCCGCGUUGGAUUAGCUAGUUGGUGGGGUAAAGGCCUACCAAGGCGACGAUCCAUAGCUGGUCUGAGAGGAUGAUCAGCCACAUUGGGACUGAGACACGGCCCAAACUCCUACGGGAGGCAGCAGUGGGGAAUAUUGGACAAUGGGCGCAAGCCUGAUCCAGCCAUGCCGCGUGAGUGAUGAAGGCCUUAGGGUUGUAAAGCUCUUUCACCGAUGAAGAUAAUGACGGUAGUCGGAGAAGAAGCCCCGGCUAACUUCGUG